UGCACUUUAUUCAUAGAAAAUACCAAAAACUAGUACAUCAUCCGAGGUAUUCAACCCUGAAAACACACAUCCAAAAUCAACAAGAAAAUACAUCACAGUAGCAAACGGAUAACGGUGCAUCCCUCAAUACUCCUCCUCAUCCCCUUCGUCUCCUUCACCAGACUCAGCGCCAACUUCUUCAUAAUCUUUUUCCAGGGCAGCAAGAUCUUCACGUGCCUCGGAAAACUCUCCUUCCUCCAUGCCCUCACCAACAUACCAGUGCACAAAUGCACGCUUGGCAUACAUGAGAUCAAAUUUAUGAUCAAUG
rnacentral:lncRNA from 1 species